GCUAUAUCGGGUUGGCCACUACCACAACCCAGUGUUGCUGAGUCCUGUGGGAACUUUUCAUCUGGUGGGUGAAAGGGAGAAGCAUUGAUCACUCAGCUUCCAGCCCAGUUGUUCAAGAGCGGUCCAAUAAUAGGAAACAGUUGGAUGAUUAAUGAGAUAAUGAAUGUGAGGAGAAUUCCCUGGAGGAAAGACAUUUCAUAAACACGAAGUGAAGACUCUGGCUGACUCACUGAUUUCAGCAGCUCAGAGGUGGCUUGGAAGCAUCAUUUGAAGACUGAACUACAAAAAUCUGUCAAUAUUUGUGUCUUUUUGAACCGU
rnacentral:lncRNA from 1 species